AAUGCUUUAUGCGUCAAAAGGAUUCGUCUGCCCAAGGAUGGGUCUGCGGCCUAUCAGGUAGUAGUGGGUGUAAUGUACCUACUAGCCAGCGACGGGUACGGGUUGUGAGAGCAAGAGCCCGGAGAUGGAUUCUGAGACAUGAAUCCAGGCCCUACGGGGCGCAGCAGGCGCGAAAACUUUACAAUGCGGGAAACCGUGAUAAGGGGACACCGAGUGCCAGCAUCAUAUGCUGGCUGUCCGGAUGUGUAAAAUACAUCCGUUAGCAAGGGCCGGGCAAGACCGGUGCCAGCCGCCGCGGUAACACCGGCGGCCCGAGUGGUGAUCGUGAUUAUUGGGUCUAAAGGGUCCGUAGCCGGUUUGGUCAGUCCUCCGGGAAAUCUGAUAGCUCAACUAUUAGGCUUUCGGGGGAUACUGCCAGACUUGGAACCGGGAGAGGUAAGAGGUACUACAGGGGUAGGAGUGAAAUCUUGUAAUCCCUGUGGGACCACCUGUGGCGAAGGCGUCUUACCAGAACGGGUUCGACGGUGAGGGACGAAAGCUGGGGGCACGAACCGGAUUAGAUACCCCGGGGUAGUCCCAAGCCCGUAAACGAAUGCUCGCUANGGUGUCAGGCAUGGCGCCGACCGUUGUCCUGGGUGCCCGCAAGGGGA
rnacentral:rRNA from 1 species